AUUGAACGCUAGCGGGAUGCCUUACACAUGCAAGUCGAACGGAGUGGCGAACGGGUGAGUAAUGUAUCGGAACGUGCCCAGUAGCGGGGGAUCACUACGCGAAAGCGUAGCUAAUACCGCAUACUAUUGGACCGGCCGCUAGAGGAUUAGCUAGUUGGUGGGGUAACGGCUCACCAAGGCGACGAUCCGUAGCUGGUUUGAGAGUAAGAACAGCGACACUGGGACGGAGACACGGCCCAGAGUCCGACGGUCGGCAGCAGUGGGGAAUUUUGGACAAUGGGGGAAACCCUGAUCCAGACGUCCCGCGUGUGCGAUGAAGGCUUUCGGGUUGUAAAGCACUUUUGGCAGGAAAGCGGUACCUGCAGAAUAAGCACCGGCUAACUACGUGCCAGCAGCCGCGGUAAUAC
rnacentral:rRNA from 1 species